rnacentral:rRNA from 1 species
UCCGGCUAACUUCGUGCCAGCAGCCGCGGUAAUACGAAGGGACCUAGCGUAGUUCGGAAUUACUGGGCUUAAGGAGUUCGUAGGUGGUUGAAAAAGUUAGUGGUGAAAUCCCAGAGCUUAACUCUGGAACUGCCAUUAAAACUUUUCAGCUAGAGUAUGAUAGAGGAAAGCAGAAUUUCUAGUGUAGAGGUGAAAUUCGUAGAUAUUAGAAAGAAUACCAAUUGCGAAGGCAGCUUUCUGGAUCAUUACUGACACUGAGGAACGAAAGCAUGGGUAGCGAAGAGGAUUAGAUACCCUCGUAGUCCAUGCCGUAAACGAUGUGUGUUAGACGUUGGAAAUUUAUUUUCAGUGUCGCAGGGAAACCGAUAAACACACCGCCUGGGGAGUACGACCGCAAGGUUAAAACUCAAAUGAAUUGACGGGGACCCGCACAAGUAGUGGAGCAUGUGGUUUAAUUCGAAGAUACGCGCAGAACCUUACCAACACUUGACAUGUUCGUCGCGACUCUAAGAGAUUAGAGUUUUCGGUUCGGCCGGACGAAACACAGGUGCUGCAUGGCUGUCGUCAGCUCGUGUCGUGAGAUGUUGGGUUAAGUCCCGCAACGAGCGCAACCCUCACUUUUAGUUGCCAUCAUUAAGUUGGGCACUCUGAAAGAACUGCCAGUGAUAAGCUGGAGGAAGGUGGGGAUGACGUCAAGUCCUCAUGGCCCUUACGUGUUGGGCUACACACGUGCUACAAUGGUAUCUACAACAGGAAGCAAGACUGCGAAGUUAAGCAAAUCCCUAAAAGAUACCUCAGUUCGGAUUGCACUCUGCAACUCGAGUGCAUGAAGCUGGAAUUACUAGUAAUCGUGGAUCAGCGUGCCACGGUGAAUGCGUUCCCGGGUCUUGUACACACCGCCCGUCACACCAUGGGAGUUGGUUCUACCUUAAGGCAAGGUUUCAAACCCUUGACCACGGUAUAGUCAGCGACUGGGGUG